UACGGAGGGUGCUAGCGUUAUUCGGAAUUACUGGGCGUAAAGCGCACGUAGGCGGCUUUGUAAGUAAGAGGUGAAAGCCUGGUGCUCAACACCAGAACUGCCUUUUAGACUGCAUCGCUUGAAUCAUGGAGAGGUGAGUGGAAUUCCGAGUGUAGAGGUGAAAUUCGUAGAUAUUCGGAAGAACACCAGUGGCGAAGGCGGCUCACUGGACAUGUAUUGACGCUGAGGUGCGAAAGCGUGGGGAGCAAACAGG
rnacentral:rRNA from 1 species